rnacentral:antisense_RNA from 1 species
CAGUGGCUCCCAGAAAGCCCAGGAUUCAAUCACUGAGAGAGUGCUUAGGCCCGAAUGCCAGCCCAAAUCGUUCUACUCACCGUGUCGGAGGCCGAGGCCGAGGCCGAGAGCGAUGAGAGUGCAGGGAAGUGGGGAAGAGGGGGUGGCCGCCAGGCUCCUCCGCUUCCCUGGGUCCACGGCGGAUCCCUCCCGCUUGUCAGGAGGCGGCCAGCGGUAGGAGGACCGGUGCUUUGGAGCCGGUCCCAGGCGGUGUGUGCCGAUCGCCUAGUCAGGAGAACUACUCCUCGACUCACGGUGAGGGAAUGGACCGACACGGGUGUUGUACCGCUGAGGGAAAAGAGCGGGACUCCGGACCUCCAGGAGGUAGGGAGUGAGGCCAGUAGGACCGGCGCGCCUCCGGGGGAAUUCUUCCCGGGCGUUGAGUUGCCAACCUGGGACCCGAGGAAGAUCGGCGUGGUGGUGUGCUUUUUGUUGUUGUUAACCCUCCUCGGAUUUCUCGAAUUUCACACCACUGUCCAUAUGCGAUGAUGUUUGUUUGCCCUUGACGAACUUACUCAUAGAUGGUACUUCUUCAGCCUCGUUAGACAGCCUGGUGAUGGAGGAUGAAGAAACCAUGUGCUUUUCAUUCAGUUCUGGACUUAGUCUCCCUUUUCUUCCUUCAGCAAGUUAUUUUUCUUAGUUCCUUAUCAAAAAGUGUACAUAAAAAUUAGGCAACUCCAAACAUGCCCCCAGGGUUGAUGUGUGAAAUAAUAAGAUAUGUAAAGUGGAAUUAGCUCCUUAGGCAUAGGGAAAGUGCAGAAUAUUGCCGUGUUGUCAUUUACAGUUUUGUUGAUGUUGAUAAAGUUUGUGGGUGUAAUUGGUAGUGUUCUGUCCCUCCAAGGCGUUAAUAAAACAAAGCAAACAUA